GAUGAAGAACGUAGCAAAAUGCGAUAAGUAAUGUGAAUUGCAGAAUUCAGUGAAUCAUCGAAUCUUUGAACGCACAUUGCGCCCGCUGGUAUUCCGGCGGGCAUGCCUGUUCGAGCGUCAUUUCAACCCUCAAGCCCCCGGGUUUGGUGUUGGGGAUCGGCUCUGCCCUUCUGGGCGGUGCAGCCCCCGAAAUACAUUGGCGGUCUCGCUGCAGCCUCCAUUGCGUAGUAGCUAACACCUCGCAACUGGAACGCGGCGCGGCCAUGCCGUAAAACCCCAACUUCUGAAUGUUGACCUCGGAUCAGGUAGGAAUACCCGCUGAACUUAAGCAUAUCAAUAAGCGGAGGA
rnacentral:misc_RNA from 1 species